AGUGGGCGCAAGCCUGAUCCAGCCAUGCCGCGUGCAGGAUGAAGGCCUUCGGGUUGUAAACUGCUUUUGUACGGAACGAAAAGCCCCCUUCUAAUAAAGGGGGGUGACGACGGUACCGUAAGAAUAAGCACCGGCUAACUACGUGCCAGCAGCCGCGGUAAUACGUAGGGUGCAAGCGUUAAUCGGAAUUACUGGGCGUAAAGCGUGCGCAGGCGGUUAUGUAAGACAGGGGUGAAAUCCCCGGGCUCAACCUGGGAACUGCCUUUGUGACUGCAUAGCUUGAGUGCGGCAGAGGGGGAUGGAAUUCCGCGUGUAGCAGUGAAAUGCGUAGAUAUGCGGAGGAACACCGAUGGCGAAGGCAAUCCCCUGGGCCUGCACUGACGCUCAUGCACGAAAGCGUGGGGAACAAA
rnacentral:rRNA from 1 species